CGGUCCUAGCUGAGCUCCUGGCUGGGCUAAAGGGCUCUGAAGGCGCGUGCUUUGGAGACGCCUGAGGGUCUCCGGCCUCCCGGUCGCCCCUGCGGGCUUGUCUGGCAUAGGAAUGGGCCUUUUGGCUCGGGCACACUCCUCAGGCCCCCGUUCACGCUCCGGUUUCCUCCGAAGUUGCUGACCCCGGUUGGCAGGCGGGGUGCGCGGUGACCCCGCAAGCCCGCGGCAAGAGGAGGCCUGCAGCGAGCACAGAAACAAGGAGCACCGAAGUUGCUGACCCCGGUUGGCAGGCGGGGUGCGCGGUGACCCCGUAAGCCCGCGGCAAGAGGAGGCCUGCAGCGAGCACAGAAACAAGGAGCACUAGAGCGGCUGGGCUGGACUUCCCAGAGUGUCGCCUACAUCCUGGUCGCCAUGGCACCGGCCAGGCGCUGCGCCCCAGCUGUGCGCUCUCCUCCACCGGGGUACGAGGGCCCGCUCGGUCACAGGAGGCGAAGAGGUGGCGCUUCGGAGCCUCGCAGUCAGGAUAAAAUUCCUCAAGGAACUAGCCUUCCCUGAGAAGAUGCUGGGCAUGCACUGUGCCAGGUCUUUGGAUGCUCUGGGGACAGCGGCUCUGGUAGCCCAGGGAGGCCCAGGGCAGGGGGCUUCUGGAAGCAGCUGCCGCUGGGGACCCCUACCUGGCUUGGAGUCUUCAAGACAGGAAAGAAGGAAAAAGAAGACAUUCCAAAGAGGAUGGGCAGAGGAAGGUCCCCAGAAAUCUGCAUGGUGUGUGGUGGGCCAGAGACCUGUGGAGUCUGUAGGUCUGGACCAGUAUACAUGCACAUUAGAGUCGAUGUUCUCUGUUCAUUUACUGCAGCCCCCAACACCUUCCAGGAUGUGCACCGCUGUCAUAUUCCAAAAGCUUCUCAGGAUUUUCCCCCCCAAACACGCACAGGCACCCACACACUUGAUGAAGAGCCAGUUACAGAAAUCCGAGUGACUUACGCCACCCUGGAACUGACUUCCUUCCCAGGCGUGAAGUCCUGUGUUAGGUAGGGACCCCCAGUGUCUGCUGGGUCACCUUGGUGCCUUUUCUUCUGCUUUGCUGUCACUUCCUUUAUCUUCAUUGCCCUCCCCAAAGGCACCUACUCAGACAGGUACCACUCACCAGUUUUUGGAGUGUCCUGCAACCUUGAAUUGUUCGGCGUGCACACAUUUUAAGUUUCAGUAAAAAGUCCGUCCUGUU